ACCCGGACGGUCUCAAAGCGGCGGAGCGCAGAUUACAAAAUACACUUUUGAUAAUAUUUACCACUAACGCACGACAUAAAACUUGAUAUAUAUUUUUUUGUAUCAAGACGCUUUUUGUAGCGGGGUUUAGCGUUUAUGAAGGUGUCUGGUAUUACGCUGGAGUUUGUUCCUACGCAGUCGGUCGACGCGGCCCGCACACUUUCUGAACACUUCAGCGGUUCCCGUGAAAUGUGUGUUGAGACCAUGGACUCCAACUCCACACACUGUUCGACCAAACACAAAUUCGUGUCGAAGAUGAAGUGGAAAAUGCUUCGAACGAGGACGACGGAGGACACUUUCAAGAUGUUACACAAGACCGUGAAGACCGGUCACAGAUGCGUCCAUAAGGGAAAGCCGUCGACGCCCAGACCCGGUAAGGGACUCCGGCCAGUGGGGGAGGAAGAAGGGGGACACAGGAGGGCCAUGGCGCCGGAGAACACCACCCAGUACCUCAUGGCCCGCGUCUACGCAGACAUGUCGUCGCCUCUCGGUGACUCAUUCUCACCGCGCUCUGUUUACGACACCGCCGUAGACGUUUACGGGGAGUCGUUGUCGCCGACGAGCGUUUCCACGGCGUUGGACUCCAUUUACGACGACUAUCUCGCUUUCCAACAGCGGGACUUUGAGGAAGUUUUCGGCCUGUGAGCCGUCAUGCUAAUCAGGAACCGGACUAGCCGACGUGGUCUAACCGACGAGGCCUCGCGAGACUUGGAUGUUGCCUGUGGGCUCACUGAUGACACGUCUGUGGCAAAAGAGCUGAACCCGACACCGCCCGCAGUGUCGGGCGCACUCCCGAACAGCGCCAGCUGCCCACCGACGUCUGCCUCAAACCCGCCUCUCUCCUGGUCACCGCUUGCGUAAUGAAGGUAAACGCUACGGUAACGGAGAGCAGAUGGCAGGUACUACAAUGUCGAUACAUGUGUCCCAUUGCUAAGGUACCCAUUGUUGAGUAGACCGAUGGCAGUGUCCCAUCGCCUCGGUGGAGUGAGUGCACAUGAACAUGUAAACGUUGUCUGAGCCUUUUCCAGGUCACAGUGCCACGGACUCUGGGUUCGGCUGUGAACUGGAGCAGAAAGCGGAGAGUCUCCCUCAAAGAGAUGGACCAAGGUGACUCUUUGUAACGGGUUGUUAUGUUAUGAAGACUGGUUAACGUCCGUGUGUAAAUAAUGUACAGAAAGAUUUUUGCGUGUUGUGUUUUAGACAUUAAAAUAUUAUUUGGGAAAUAGUGUGAAUGUGUCAUGACUUUCUUAUGUCUCCAUUAAGUGACGAUACAAAGUGAUUUAUAAAAUAAAAUAUCGACUCUUGUUGUAAAAUAACGCUGUUCUUCAAAAAAAAAACGACUUCCGGGAAGGACCCUGGCAAGAUGGCGUCCUCCACCCACUGUAACGGCCUCCUGUCGUCACCAGCUGCUGCCCCAUGAACCACGAAUAGCCUUCAACGUCGCAACAAAUCCUUAAAGUGGUUAGCAGCUGCAGUGGGCGAUCUUCUGUUCCCUGCGUUCGCUUUCCUCCGACCGGGCCAAACAUCCAGAUCAGACCCAAACUUUGACCUCCCAGCUGCAUCAUAUGGUUGCCACGGAGACGACCUGUCAUCAGGACCUCCAAUGCGUCAUCGCCGACAGGUUAAUAAUAAACCUCCUGAGAGGUGACAAGGUAUGG
ensembl:lncRNA